rnacentral:rRNA from 1 species
CUUGGUCAUUUAGAGGAAGUAAAAGUCGUAACAAGGUCUCCGUAGGUGAACCUGCGGAGGGAUCAUUACACAAAUAUGAAGGCGGGCUGGAACCUCUCGGGGUUACAGCCUUGCUGAAUUAUUCACCCUUGUCUUUUGCGUACUUCUUGUUUCCUUGGUGGGUUCGCCCACCACUAGGACAAACAUAAACCUUUUGUAAUUGCAAUCAGCGUCAGUAACAAAUUAAUAAUUACAACUUUCAACAACGGAUCUCUUGGUUCUGGCAUCGAUGAAGAACGCAGCGAAAUGCGAUAAGUAGUGUGGAUUGCAGAAUUCAGUGAAUCAUCGAAUCUUUGAACGCACAUUGCGCCCUUUGGUAUUCCAAAGGGCAUGCCUGUUCGAGCGUCAUUUGUACCCUCAAGCUUUGCUUGGUGUUGGGCGUCUUGUCUCUAGCUUUGCUGGAGACUCGCCUUAAAGUAAUUGGCAGCCGGCCUACUGGUUUCGGAGCGCAGCACAAGUCGCACUCUCUAUCAGCAAAGGUCUAGCAUCCAUUAAGCCUUUUUUUCAACUUUUGACCUCGGAUCAGGUAGGGAUACCCGCUGAACUUAAGCAUAUCAAUAAGCGGAGGAAAAGAAACCAACAGGGAUUGCCCUAGUAACGGCGAGUGAAGCGGCAACAGCUCAAAUUUGAAAUCUGGCUCUUUUAGAGUCCGAGUUGUAAUUUGCAGAGGGCGCUUUGGCUUUGGCAGCGG